GAUGAACGCUGGCGGCGUGCCUAAUACAUGCAAGUCGAGCGAACGGACGAGAAGCUUGCUUCUCUGAUGUUAGCGGCGGACGGGUGAGUAACACGUGGAUAACCUACCUAUAAGACUGGGAUAACUUCGGGAAACCGUAGCUAAUACCGGAUAAUAUUUUGAACCGCAUGGUUCAAAAGUGAAAGACGGUCUUGCUGUCACUUAUAGAUGGAUCCGCGCUGCAUUAGCUAGUUGGUAAGGUAACGGCUUACCAAGGCAACGAUGCAUAGCCGACCUGAGAGGGGGAUCGCCCACACUGGAAGUGGAACACGGUCCAGACUCCUACGGGAGGCCCCAGUAGGGAAUCUUCCGCAAUGGGCGAAAGCCUGACGGAGCAGCGCCGCGUGAGUGAUGAAGGUCUCCGGAUCGUAAAACUCUGUUAUUAGGGAAAAACAUAUGUGUAAGUAACUGUGCACAUCUUGACGGUACCUAAUCAGAAAGCCACGGCUAACUACGUG
rnacentral:rRNA from 1 species